CUCCCCUUCAGACGACUUUUCUGCGCUUGCCCAACAACUUUGGUUUUAUGGACCAGGACCAAUUUAAGCUUAGACCAUGGUCAAGUCAUAACUGAUUGGAUAACAUUCUCUUAAGCACCUGCAAAACUCUAUAAUGUGGAUGAUCAAAUGUAGCUUCCGAUGUGUAUGAGAAGGAAGCGUCUGACAUGA
rnacentral:rRNA from 1 species